CCUGCGGAAGGAUCAUUACAGAGUUCAUGCCCUCACGGGUAGAUCUCCCACCCUUGAAUAACAUACCUUUGUUGCUUUGGCAGGCCGUACUCGUGCCAGAGGCUUUGGCUUCUGAGUGCCUGCCAGAGGACCACAACUCUUGUUUUUAGUGAUGUCUGAGUACUAUAUAAUAGUUAAAACUUUCAACAACGGAUCUCUUGGUUCUGGCAUCGAUGAAGAACGCAGCGAAAUGCGAUAAGUAAUGUGAAUUGCAGAAUUCAGUGAAUCAUCGAAUCUUUGAACGCACAUUGCGCCCUUUGGUAUUCCGAAGGGCAUGCCUGUUCGAGCGUCAUUAUAACCACUCAAGCCUACGCUUGGUAUUGGGGUUCGCGAUCAGCGGCUCCUAAAGUCAGUGGCGGUGCUUGUAAGCUCUACGCGUAGUAAUUUUCUCGCGACGGAACCUUACGAGUUGCUUGCCAAAACUCAAAUAUUUUAUUAGGUUGACCUCGGAUCAGGUAGGGAUACCCGCUGAACUUAAGCAUAUCAAAA
rnacentral:rRNA from 1 species